UAUUAUCACUUCUGCCAUAGGUGACGGGUCAGAGCGAUCAACCCUGGUGCAGCGUGGCAGGAGGCUAUGCAAGUGUGUAAAUACCAGGAAGUUCGGAUCCCUGGGGCCAUCUCUGAGGCUGCUACUGCAACUGGCAUAAGUUCUCGGUCAUUCAAUUCUUGUGAAGCAUGGCAUAUUGGAAAAAACCUGGGCUUAGGACUCAGAUAAUUGAGAAAAACUCACUCUUGUCAUCCACUACCUUUGUCAUCUUGGAAAGUCACUUCAACAGUUCCAGUUUCUUGAGAGUAACAUGGAGUUAGGAAUACCUUCUUCAGAACAAUGGUAUGAAUAACAAAUGAGGUAAACUAUUCAGAAAGCCUGGCCCAUGAGGAGUACCAAGAGAGGAACAUUAACACAUGAUAGCCGUUGUUCUUAAUAACAAAUUCAGCAUUCCUUCCGUACUCAUAUGUCAUGUUAUCUGCUCUAACCCUCAGGACCCAGUGGUGUUCCAAAUAAAGAUUUGCAACCCUGGGGGGUGGUCCACCCAACCCAAGAGCUGUAUCUUCGGGGUUUUGCAUGCUCCCAACUUCCAGUGACAAGUGACAGUCCUCAGCUAAACUGAGCAAGCAGCACUCCUGGUUCAGGUACUACCAGGUGCCAUGGUCUUUGCAAGCUGCCACUGGGGACGUGGUCCAGGUGAACACAGUCUGGCUGCCGGAGAUGCACAUGAGACAUGGGCCUCUGCCUGCAAUCCAAUUCAAAGGAUCCCAUGGAUGAAAUGGAAACGGAUGGACUGAAUCCAGUGGUCUCUGUGAAUUAUUUGGCAGGAAAUGGAAGCAUCUCCUUCCAGAAAUGGGGAUCGUACCUUCACUUCUACCCACCACAGAGGGAUUUUAAGACAGAAGCUACACAAAUGCUUUGGAAAUGG